AUUGAACGCUGGCAGCAGGCCUAACACAUGCAAGUCGAACGAGUGGCGGACGGGUGAGUAAUGUCUGGGAAACUGCCCGAUGGAGGGGGAUAACUCCUGGAAACGGUAGAUAAUACCGCAUACCAUCGGAUGUGCCCCGAUGGGAUUAGCUUGUAGGUGAGGUAAAGGCCUACAAAGGGGCCGAUCCGUAACUGGGCUGAGAGGAUGAUCAGUCACACUGGAACUGAGACACGGUCCAGACUCCUACGGGAGGAAGCAGUGGGGAAUAUUGCACAAUGGGCGCAAGCCUGAUGCAGCCAUGCCGCGUGUACGAAGAAGGCCUUCGGGUUGUAAAGUACUUUCAGCGGGGAGGCGUUACCCGCAGAAGAAGCACCGGCUAACUCCGUGCCAGCAGCCGCGGUAAUAC
rnacentral:rRNA from 1 species